rnacentral:rRNA from 1 species
CCUACGGGAGGCAGCAGUGAGGAAUAUUGGUCAAUGGUCGGGAGACUGAACCAGCCAAGCCGCGUGAGGGAUGAAGGUACAGAGUAUCGUAAACCUCUUUUGUCAGGGCACAAAGGCGGGGACGCGUCCCCGGAUGAGUGUACCUGAAGAAAAAGCAUCGGCUAACUCCGUGCCAGCAGCCGCGGUAAUACGGAGGAUGCGAGCGUUAUCCGGUUUUAUUGGGUUUAAAGGGUGCGCAGGCGGUCUGUUAAGUCAGCGGUCAAAGCCCGGGGCUCAACCCCGGCCCGCCGUUGAAACUGGCAGGCUCGAGUUGGAGAGAAGUAUGCGGAAAGAGCGGUGGAGCGGUGAAAUGCAUAGAUAUCGCGCAGAACUCCGAUUGCGAAGGCAGCAUGCCGGCUCCAAACUGACGCUGAGGCACGAAAGCGUGGGUAUCGAACAGGAUUAGAUACCCCAGUAGUC